AAGUCGAACGCAUGGCUUCGGCCAUGAGUGGCGGACGGGUGAGUAACGCGUGGGAACCUGCCCCAAGGUACGGAACAACCCCGGGAAACUGGGGCUAAUACCGUAUGUGCCCCUGGACGCAUGUCCGGGGGGAAAGAUUCAUCGCCUUGGGAGGGGCCCGCGUCGGAUUAGCUAGUUGGUGAGGUAACGGCCCACCAAGGCUUCGAUCCGUAGCUGGUCUGAGAGGAUGAUCAGCCACACUGGGACUGCGACACGGCCCAGACUCCUACGGGAGGCAGCAGUGGGGAAUAUCGGACAAUGGGGGGAACCCUGAUCCAGCAAUGCCGCGUGAGUGAUGAAGGCCUUAGGGUUGUAAAGCUCUUUUGGCGGGGACGAUGAUGACGGUACCCGCAGAAUAAGCCCCGGCUAACUUCGUGCCAGCAGCCGCGGUAAUACGAAGGGGGCUAGCGUUGUUCGGAAUUACUGGGCGUAAAGGGCGCGUAGGCGGCUCUGUCAAGUCAGGCGUGAAAGCCCUGGGCUCAACCUGGGAAUGGCGCUUGAUACUGCGGGGCUCGAGACCGGGAGAGGGUGAUGGAAUUCCCAGUGUAGAGGUGAAUUCGUAGAUAUUGGGAAGAACACCGGUGGCGAAGGCGGUCACCUGGCCCGG
rnacentral:rRNA from 1 species